rnacentral:rRNA from 1 species
UAGGGAAUAUUAGAAAUGGACGAAAGUCUGAUCUAGCAACACCGCGUGUGCGAAGAAGGCCUUCGGGUCGUAAAGCACUUUUUGGAAGGAAUAGGAAGGAAUGUACUUCCAGAAUAAGUCUCGGCUAACUACGUGCCAGCAGCCGCGGUAAAACGUAGGAGGCGAGCGUUAUCCGGAUUUACUGGGCGUAAAGCGCGUGUAGGUGGUUCUGUAAGUAGGGCGUGAAAGCUCCUGGCUCAACUGGGAGAGGCCGUUCUAAACUGCAGAGCUAGAGGAUGGUAGAGGGAGGUGGAAUUCCGGGUGUAGCGGUGGAAUGCGCAGAUAUCCGGAGGAACACCAGUGGCGAAAGCGGCCUCCUGGACCAUUCCUGACACUCAGACACGAAAGCUAGGGUAGCAAACG